CAGGUACAAGUCCAUGUGAAGGGAGCAACGAAGGCCAGUCUAGAAGCUAACUGGGAAGAUUGGUAUCCAAAAGAUUAAUGUGGGCCUCUAAUCUAAAUUCAGAUUACACUUCCAUUUCAACCCUCAACGUUCCCAGAUUCCAGAAGACAAAGCCCAAUACUCACAGUGAACUUUAUUUGGAUUUGUCUGUUUCCGACGGGACAUGUUUCCCUGAUCCAAGAGCUCUGGCCUUUCCCAGUUUCACGACUGGAUGUGUUACUACCUCCUUGCAGGGUGCUGACC